AUUGAACGCUGGCGGCAGGCCUAACACAUGCAAGUCGAGCGGAUGACGGGAGCUUGCUCCUUGAUUCAGCGGCGGACGGGUGAGUAAUACCUAGGAAUCUGCCUGAUAGUGGGGGACAACGUUUCGAAAGGAACGCUAAUACCGCAUACGUCCUACGGGAGAAAGCAGGGGACCUUCGGGCCUUGCGCUAUCAGAUGAGCCUAGGUCGGAUUAGCUAGUUGGUGAGGUAAUGGCUCACCAAGGCGACGAUCCGUAACUGGUCUGAGAGGAUGAUCAGACACACUGGAACUGAGACACGGUCCAGACGCCUACGGGAGGCAGCAGUGGGGAAUAUUGGACAAUGGGCGAAAGCCUGAUCCAGCCAUGCCGCGUGUGUGAAGAAGGUCUUCGGAUUGUAAAGCACUUUAAGUUGGGAGGAAGGGCAGUAAGCUAAUACCUUGCUGUUUUGACGUUACCGACAGAAUAAGCACCGGCUAACUCUGUGCCAGCAGCCGCCGUAACAC
rnacentral:rRNA from 1 species